ACCCUGUUCCCAAGUAAACCAUUUCCCAGAGAAACCCGGAUCAUGCAACUCACAAUUCGCCAAGGCAGAGAAAAAAUCCUCCAUUUGUCUCUCCCAGCGAACACGACCCUCUUUCUUCUCAAAAGCGUAAGCAAUCUCAUUAAAGUCACUAACGACCAUCCACAGCAAACCAUGGUCACGCCCCAACUGCUUAAGUAAGCGAGACGACUCUGUUGCGGAAGCGACGAUAAUAUUAAUAACAAUAUUAUCAGAAAUAUUUAGAUAAUUAUUAUGCCAACAAUUAUACUAAGAAAAUUCCCAGUUAAAUUGGAGGGGUCACAAUGGUCCCGCUUAAAACCCAACAACUAGACAGAACUCACUUAGAUAUUUAUAGCAAU
rnacentral:lncRNA from 1 species